UAGGGAAUCUUCCACAAUGGACGCAAGUCUGAUGGAGCAACGCCGCGUGAGUGAAGAAGGUUUUCGGAUCGUAAAGCUCUGUUGUUGGUGAAGAAGGAUAGAGGUAGUAACUGGCCUUUAUUUGACGGUAAUCAACCAGAAAGUCACGGCUAACUACGUGCCAC
rnacentral:rRNA from 1 species